CUAAAAGCCUACUGCUAGCUACUACCGCCGAGUGGGUGGAGUGGAGGUAUGGGGCAGUGCCACGGGACAGCGGUGGAGCUGGACGGCGGCGCAGCUAGGUCGGGAGGAACGAAGCUAUAAGGCCCUGUUUAGUUCCCCACUAAAAAAUUUUUCAUCCAUCCCAUCGAAUCUUUGGACACAUGCAUGGAACAUUAAACGUAGAUAAAAAAAUAAACUAAUUACACAGUUUAGUUAAGAAUCACGAGACGAAUCUUUUAAGCCUAGUUACUCCAUGAUUAGCCUUAAGUGCUACAGUAACCCACAUAUGCUAAUGACAGAUUAAUUAUGCUUAAUAAAUUUGUCUUGCAGUUUCCUAACGAGCUAUGUAAUUUGUUUUUUUAUUAGUUUCUAAACCCCUCCCGACAUCCUUCCGACACAUCCGAUGUGACAUCCAAAAAAUUUUCAUCCCCAAUCUAAACAGGCCCUAAGCAGAGUAGGUACGGAUGUGUGCUGGUCGAGCAAGCUAGAGUGUUCUGGAACGAUGCAUGGUGGAUAAGGAGGAGUGAAGGACACGGUGG
rnacentral:lncRNA from 1 species